rnacentral:rRNA from 1 species
UACAGAGGUCCCAAGCGUUGUUCGGAUUCACUGGGCGUAAAGGGUGCGUAGGUGGUGAGGUAAGUCGGAUGUGAAAUCUCCGAGCUCAACUCGGAAAUGGCAUUGGAAACUACCUUGCUAGAGGGUUGGAGGGGGACUGGAAUACUUGGUGUAGCAGUGAAAUGCGUAGAUAUCAAGUGGAACACCAGUGGCGAAGGCGAGUCCCUGGACAACUCCUGACACUGAGGCACGAAAGCUAGGGGAGCAAACAGG